rnacentral:rRNA from 1 species
UACGUAGGUGGCGAGCGUUAUCCGGAUUUACUGGGCGUAAAGGGUGUGCAGGCGGGGUAUCAAGUGGGGUAUGAAAGGAGGCGGCUCAACUGCCUCAUGUUAUGCCAGACUGAUGCGCUUGAGGACCAAACAGGGCUGUGGAAUUCCGGGUGUAGUGGUGAAAUGCGUAGAGAUGUGGAGGAACACCGAUGGCGAAGGCAGCCCCCUGGGCUAACACUGACGCUCAGGCACGAAAGCGUGGGGAGCAAACAGG